ensembl:ncRNA T27F7.6 ncRNA
UUGAAAAGAGCCCAGCGCGUGUAACUUGAUAUCUGCAGAGCUUUGAUCAGCUGCGCAAUGAGACUAGGAUACAGUGUCUCAAUUUUUGGAACGGCGAGGGAAAGGGAGUGUCUUCUUUUGUCACCGCCCGGGUGUCAACAGGUGUGAAGC